rnacentral:rRNA from 1 species
UACGAAGGGUGCUAGCGUUGUUCGGAAUCACUGGGCGUAAAGCGCGCGUAGGCGGCUUGACAAGUCAGAGGUGAAAGCCUGGAGCUCAACUCCAGAACUGCCUUUGAAACUGUCUCGCUGGAGUGUCGGAGGGGAUAGCGGAAUUGCUAAUGUAGAGGUGAAAUUCGUAGAUAUUAGCAGGAACACCGGUGGCGAAGGCGGCUAUCUGGACGACAACUGACGCUGAGGCGCGAAAGCGUGGGGAUCAAACAGGG